CACACUCAUUUUACUCAGCAUUCCUGGAGGGCAAGAGGGCAAUUCCUAAGGGCCUGUCUAUGGCGGUGCAGCUAAUGGGAAAACAGGAGAGGAGCCUGCCACUCUAGCAAAGAGAAUUUCCAGCUCUGCGUCUCCAGGGAGUAAGAAAAGAGAAAUGGAAAAUAGAAAACAAAGCUGGCUGCUUCAACAGUAACUCAGUGCUCUCCAUAACAGCAAUCCCAUGCAUGGUCUCCAGAGGUACAUCUCAGUUCCCUUUUCAAUACCCAAAGCAAUUUUCCUGAGAGAUUGGAAAAUCAGGAGGAGGCAAGCCGAUGACAUUUUGAUUGCAGGCCCCACUCGGAGAGGCAUUGUGGAACUUUCUGGUUAACAAAGUUAAAACCAAAACAAAGUAAAUGACGAAUCCACCACCUCAAUCUGCAUUGUAUUUUUUGUUUUUAAAGAAAAUGGUAAAACUUUUGCUGCUGCUUUUAGUGACUGAGAUUUUCAAGAGUGGAUUGAAGAAAUUAUUAUCAGUCUGUUUGGCAGCUAAGAAACCUGCUUUGAGAUGGGUAGUUGCUUAUUAAUAAUACUGCUUUCCACUUCAGCCUCAUCUGUAAGGCACUGAACUAGCUGCUACUGGGUCUUCAACCUACCUUCAGACUUCUACUGCAUGAAGUCUUUCCACAUCUACUGUGAGAUGGAUCACUUCUUCUCCGUUCCCAGCACUUUUUGGGUAUCUCUCCUAUGUCAUAGGAGAGACAUUACAUCUAUGUAAUAGAUGUAAUGAUGUUGUACAAGGCUGAGCAACCUCAGCCUUGCUCUAAAAUUAUUUACAUCAUAGUUUACCAUUCUUUGAGGGUGGCACUUUGCAUUUCAUAGAAUAAUUGAACAUUUAGAGAAUUAAUUGAAUGAAUGCAUGGAUGCAGAGUUGGAUGGAGGAAUGGAUACAUGAUGGUAGA
rnacentral:lncRNA from 10 species